AGAGCUGAACAGGUGGUGAGAGCAGAGCAGUGCAGGUGGACAGAGAUGAGGAAGUCUUAGCAGGCAGCUGGGCUUUGUCCAAGGCUUGUGGUCAGCCAGGCCGUGUGCUGGGGACAGUCCUUGCCUGCAAAGAGCACCGUGUGAACAAGGCCACUGUGGUCCUGAGGGGUGCUCUGGACAGGGCGUGGGGCCACAUGGUGGAAGGGACAGGGUGCUUUGGGGAGUGGGGUGGGGCAAGCCUCUGUCGGGAGCUGGCAUUUUCGUUGACCUGGACGAGGAGGAGUCUGCUCUGCGGAGAUCAUGGGGACAGCCUUCCAAGCUGAAGGAAGGGAUGAAGCCUGCUGGGAGCGUGAAUGACAUGGCCCUGGAUGCCUUCGACU
rnacentral:sRNA from 1 species